GUAGGUGUUAAACAGGUGUAUGUAUUAGGAAGACAUGAAGAGAGACAGGUGUAUGUAUUAGGAAGACAAGAAGAGAGACAGGUGUAUGUAUUAGGAAGACGAGAAGAGAGACAGGUGUAUGUAUUAGGAAGACGAGAAGAGAGACAGGUAGGUGUUAAACAGGUGUAUGUAUUAGGAAGACGAGAAGAGAGACAGGUAGGUGUUAAACAGGUGUAUGUAUUAGGAAGACGAGAAGAGAGACAGGUGUAUGUAUUAGGAAGACAAGAAGGGAGACAGGUGUAUGUAUUAGGAAGACGAGAAGAGAGACAGGUAGGUGUUAAACAGGUGUAUGUAUUAGGAAGACAAGAAGAGAGACAGGUGUAUGUAUUAGGAAGACAAGAAGAGAGACAGGUGUAUGUAUUAGGAAGACAAGAAGAGAGACAGGUGUAUGUAUUAGGAAGACGAGAAGAGAGACAGGUAGGUGUUAAACAGGUGUAUGUAUUAGGAAGACAAGAAGAGAGACAGGUAGGUGUUAAACAGGUGUAUGUAUUAGGUUACAGCUGGUUUCCUGUCUGACCUGUUCAGAAUGCUGUCACUGAGACGAACCAGGAAGUGGAGCUCUGACCUAGCACAGUGAGGAAGGAAAGAGACAAGGCUCUGGUAUACACAAAGGGACAAGGCUCACAAAAGGACAAGGCUCUGGUAUACACAAAGGGACAAGGCUCACAAAAGGACAAGGCUCUGGUAUAACUCUGGGAGGACUAACACCAGAGAAUAGACAAGAAAAUGGAAAGAGGGAAUGGUGUUGGCCAGCAUCCCGGAGUCGCCUCUUCAUUGUUGACGUUGAGACUGAUGUUUUGCGGGUACUAUUUAAUGAAG